UACAAACAGAAGAGAAGCAGGAGGCCC
rnacentral:piRNA from 2 species